UACGUAGGGGCCUAGCGUUGUCCGGAAUUACUGGGCGUAAAGAGCUCGUAGGUGGUUUGUCGCGUUGUCCGUGAAAACUCACAACUCAAUUGUGGGCGUGCGGGCGAUACGGGCAGACUGGAGUACUGCAGGGGAGACUGGAAUUCCUGGUGUAGCGGUGGAAUGCGCAGAUAUCAGGAGGAACACCGGUGGCGAAGGCGGGUCUCUGGGCAGUAACUGACGCUGAGGAGCGAAAGCGUGGGGAGCGAACAGGA
rnacentral:rRNA from 1 species